rnacentral:lncRNA from 1 species
AAAAAUCUUGAAGCCUUGAAGCCACCUGCAGGGCUGUUGUUUUCCAAGGCCUUGCACUUACGUAAUUGACAUCUACAUAGACACACUCCUGGAACAUAUCGGGGGAGGCAGGCAUUCUGCUUGUUCUCAUUUGUUCUCAAAUUACAUGAUAAAAUACAUGUUUUGGACCUUUUAAACCAAAGGGAGUUAUUGAGCCCGCUUACAAAAUCCAUAACAUGUUAGCAGGACUUAUCUAGCUGCCUCCACAGAAUAGCCAAGCAACUCUACACCCGCUUUAGCCCCCACAAAAACAAGCGGAUUGCACUACAAAUAAUUUGCCUAUUUGGAAAAUGAAAGCUUCUCUGUAGUUUGAGGUCCUAUUUUUUCUUUAAGUUGUUACAGUCUUUUCAUGGUCCUUGAGGUCUAGGUUAGGUUUUUGUUUGGGGUAAUUUUUGUAUCCUAUGGAUACUAUUUAAUCUUUAGUAUUGAGUCAGUAUUUCUCACUUAGGCCUUAGGGGAAUACUGCCUGAAGUAUGUAGGGGGCAUGCGGAAUUCAGACGUGGCUUGGAAACUGCACCAUGGGUUCACCCAAGAAACAGACCAGAGGCAACACAUUCUAUCACUAAAACGUGUUCUCAGUUACACUUCCCUUCCAAAGCAGGAUUAUUUGUGCCCAUGAGGGAAACACGAAGGAUUGUCAGUAUUCAUUUGCUAUCAGAACUGCCUUUGAACUUCAGGGAAGCCGCCAUCUUGUUUUAGUUCACUCCUCUAAAGCACAGUGUCUGCAACAUGAAACACUAGUAAGACACAGUUAUCCAGAAAGAGCCCUAGAGAUGGAUAAGGAACCUGUUGGAAUGCUCUGAUAUUAAGAAAAAAAAAAUUAAAUUCAAAACCAAAAACAAGUCACAAGGGAGUUUUAUGCCUAUGUAAUCAGUGCAGACAGCCGUUAAGUAAAUGAAGAGGCAACUAACAAUGUCAGAAAAGAGACCGGGCGGUUCCGGCUGACACUACCCUAAUCUUCCAGGACCCAUUAAAUGGUAGUUUCAACGCAUUACCUACCAUAACAUCCUUGAAUAUCACUGAUUUUAUUUGCAGUAUCAAACAUUCCAUUUCAUGCCCCAUUAACAGUGGGAGCCUGGGCUUUUUGACGCAGCUAAACAUUUUACUAACUACCUGGACUAAGUAACCAAUUAACUUUUGGAGACAAUACGGCCAAUUAAGCGCGAAAAGAAAAUUUGGAAAACAGGCUUUUCCUAUCCGGAUGAACAGAGAUAAUUUGUGUCGAUGGAUGUUCUGUGAAGGCCUAUUGUGUCGAGCAGCGUAUUAAAACAUAAACAUGGCUCUUCCCCCAAGAAACUUACAUUUCAGUAAGGGAGCCUGGCCAAAAUGGAAAACUGCAAGGUUCAAAUCCUGGAGUGCAGAAGAAGCAUUAGGCAUUGACCCUGUGGCUUCCUAAUAGAUCCGCAAAGUGCUUUGUUCCUGGAAAUCAUCCGAUGAGUAGUUCAGUGCUAUUGUAUAUCUUGUUAGAGCAGCCGAAGUGCCACAAAAUGAACUAAAAUCUCCCUGCAGAGUUGCUGUAUCAUAUGCUGAGAACAUUCGGAACUUUCAACAAAUUCAUGUUACGAUCCUGGGUAGCCAUGGUUAAAUCUGUACAGGGGUUAAAUGAGAAAUAUGAGCCUGCUGUUAAGUGUCUUCUGAGAGUGACAAAGCUCUGGCCAUAAGGGAUGGGAGAGGAGGGAUUUCUUCUCAGCCUUCCAGCCCUUUCCAGCUGUAUCACAGACAGGAGACAUAAUGCAAAGGGGCUCAGACAUUGACUUCCUGGAUCUUUGCGGCCCCAGGCAUUGACCCCCUCUACCUGGCUUUUCCUACGCUGUAAAAUGAGGAUCCUCCUAUAUUAUGGAGUUUAUUGUGACAACUAAAUAGCUGAGAAGAAGGACAUCUCAUUUGUUUUAACUAUGCAGUUUCCUGUCUAUCUAUCUAUCUAUCCCAUCAAUCUAUCAAUCAAUCUAUCAAUCUGUCUAUCCCUAUCUAUCUAUCCAUCUAUCUAUCUAUAUCUGUCUAUAUCUAUCUAACAUUUAUCUAUCAUCUAUUCAUCUAUCAGCUAUCUUCUGUCUAUCAAUAUUUCAAUCAAUCUCUCUAUCCCUAUCAAUUAAUCUAUCUACCUACCUAUCAACUAUCCAUCUAUCUCUAUCAUCUAUCAUCUAUUCAUCUAUCAUUUAUCAUCUGUCAAUCCAUCUUCCUACUAUCUAUCAAAAGCAACACAUUUUCUUCCUGACUUUAAAAAUAUUUAAGUGGGCCGGGAGGAUGGCUCACGCCUGUAAUCCCAGCACUUUGGGAGGCCUAGGCGGGCGGAUCACGAGGUCAGGAGAUGGAGACCAUCCUGGCUAACAUGGUGAAACCCCGUCUCUACUAAAAAUACAAAAAAAAAAAAAAAUUAACCAGGCGUGGUGGAGGGCGCCUGUAGUCCCAGCUACUCGGGAGACUGAGGCAGGAGAAUGGGGAGAACCCGGGAGGCGGAGCUUGCAGUGAGCCGAGAUCAUGCCACUGCACUCCAGCCUGGGCGACAGAGCAAGACUCCAUCUCAAAAGAAACAAAAACAAAAACGUAAGUGAUACUCUGUCCACUCUUUUGAUUGAGGAGGUCUGAUUUUCAGGCUUUGGAUUUUAUUAUGUCUUCAAUAUAAUAAUUGUUCCAUGUAUCUCUCCUAAAUUGCCAUUUGAAAAACUGCUUUUCUGAAGUUUAAAGUGCACAUUUUGAUACAUCUUGACACAUAUAUACACCCAUGAAAUCAUCACCACAAUCAGGAUAGUAGAUCUAUCCAUUACCGCCAAGGUUUACUUGCACUCCUUUGAACUUUCUCCCCACUCCUCACCCCCUGCCUAUCCCCAAUCCUUAAGCAAUCACUGAUUUGCUUUCUGUCACUAUCAGUUAAUUUGAAUUUUUCAGAAAUGUAUAUAAAUAAAAUCAUUCGACGUGUAUGCUCUUUUUCUGUUCACCCGGUACAAUUUGAGAUUUAGCCAUGUUUUUGCAUGUGUCAAUAGUUUAUUUUUUUGUUGCUCAGUACUAAUCCAUUUUAUGGAUACAGAGAAAUGUAUUAAUGCAAUCCCAUAUUAAUAGGCAUUUGGGUUGUUUCCAGGUUUGGGCUGUUACAAAUAAAGCUGCUAUGAACAUUUUUGUGCAAGUCUUUUUAUGAGUAUAUUCCUUUAUUUCUUUUGGGUAAAUACCUAGAAGUGGGAUGGGUGUAUCACAUGGUACGUAAAUAUUUAAAUUUUUAAGAGAAUGCCAAACUGUUUUUCAAAGUAAUUGCACCAUUUUAUAUUCCCACCAGGAAUAUAUGAGAAUUCCAGUUCCUCUACAUACUCACAGACAUAUUGUAUGGUCAGU